rnacentral:rRNA from 1 species
GACGAACGCUGGCGGCGUGCUUAACACAUGCAAGUCGAACGAAGUGGCGAACGGGUGAGUAACGCGUAAUCAACCUGCCCUUCAGAGGGGGACAACAGUUGGAAACGACUGCUAAUACCGCAUACUGCAGGAGUGGGAUGCGUACGAUUAGCUAGGUGGGGGGGUAACGGCCCACCAAGGCGAUGAUCAGUAGCCGGUUUGAGAGGAUGAACGGCCACAUUGGGACUGAGACACGGCCCAGACUCCUACGGGAGGCAGCAGUGGGGAAUCUUCCGAAAUGGACGAAAGUCUGACGGAGCAACGCCGCGUGAGUGAUGACGGCCUUCGGGUUGUAAAGCUCUGUUAAUCGGGACGCGGUACCGGAAUAGAAAGCCACGGCUAACUACGUGCCAGCAGCCGCGGUAAUAC